UGCAACUUAGUUGAUGGAAUAGUGAUAUGUUGUCGAUGUGGCGAUGUAUGUAGCAGUAUUAUGGUUGAUUCAUGAUACGGAAAUGACUGAUGUGCGACAUAACUAUAUAUCAAUGAUUGCAACGAUUUGAGAAGUUUGAUCGAGUCAAAAAUUAUAAUAAAUUAAAGUUCGAGAACCAAAAACUGUCAUGCCCUUUUAGUUUGAGGGCCAAAAGAGCGAU
rnacentral:lncRNA from 1 species